rnacentral:lncRNA from 1 species
GGCAGCAGGGUUGGGCUCUCGCCGUGAGUCGACGAAGGGAGCGCGGGCGCGCGCCCGCGUCCGCGCACUGAGAGUCGCCUCGGCCGCUCGCUUUCUCGACUCCCGCCUCGCGCCUCGAUCCUGUUCCGCCUCCCUCGGCCCUCCUGCCCGCCCCCACUCGUCGGCCCUCAGCUCAGAGACCUAAUAGGAUGGGGUCUUAGAGAAACAUCUUUUGAGCCACAGACUUCUUUGUUACCAGAAGGAAAAUGAAAGAAGAAAUUUAAAUACCACUUGAAGAGAGGUGCUGCCCAGUUCAUGAGUGCUGCUGCUGUCCUGCCCAAGUACCCAGCUUGCAGAGUGCCAGAGUUAGAGUCCCAGGGGUGUUCUCCACAGCUGCAUGCUUGAUCCAGGCCUAUCAGGUGUUAUUUGUUGACGGAACCAGGCAUCAUCAGCAAACAAAACUGACAAAGCUUCCUGCCCUCUGUGGAAGGCAUCUGAGGAAGAGACUGGAUUUUGUAGCAACAUGUUAUUCUCAUUAUAAACUUUAUCAUUGGAAUACUAAAGCCAAAUCAUCCCCCAUCUCCUUGAUCAGGAUACCCACUUAAUCUAGGCAGCUACACAAUUGUGAGAGCCUUUGUUUUUUUCUGCUGAAACAUCCUUAAAAAGAUACCUCACAACCCAAGAUUUGGCUUUUCUUAAAUACGAUUUUUAAUUUUUUUCAUUUCUAUCUAGAGAUUUAAUUGGAAAUGGAAAAUCAUCAAUUUUCCAAUUAAAUGUCUGUUCCAAUCAACAUUAUACCUUUUAGGUUGUCAUUGUCAUUUUUAAGUUUAAGCAACUUUAAGGAUUUUGAAUCUGGCUGCCUGUAAAUUAAAGGUGAAAGUAAUCAUUGUGUUGGAUUGGAACAUUUUGUCAAUUGAGAGUGGUUUCCUUGUUCUUAGUGUAUGAAAAGUUUAUUUUUCUAAUGUAGAUUAAUAAAGGAGAUAAAGAAAAACAAAAUGAGUGAUUUAUGUGUGUGAGAAAAGAACCAUUUCCUCAAGGAUUAAAUAAAAUUCAUACCUUUUGUUUCUUUUGAAAAGUUUUUAAAAUAAAUUUUAAUGAAUGUGUCCUUUAAAUAUUCCUUUAAAAAUGUAUCCUAUUUUAAAAUGGACUCUCUGAGAGAAGGAAUUGAUACCUGUGUUUAAAAUCAAAAAUAGCAUGCAUAGAGACUGUUUUUCUAGUUGGUUGAAGCUUUUUUCCCUCUCCUUUACAUCAGUGAACCAGCAUCUUGCCCUUCAGACCCUACAGCACACUCUUGGGCUCAUGAAGUGUAUGACACAUCCUCCUUGGGGGAUCGGCCAUGUCCUCGCUCUCAUGACCACAUGAAUUCUUCUGUAUGUCUUUUCUCACAGCUGAGUACUCUCUUCCUGACCCCCUUGUGGAAUGGGGAAAGGAGGCUGUGACAUUGUGCUUGUGCAAACAAUAAUUGAGAGCUUUCCGAGUCUCCUGCAUCUUCAUAAAUGAUUUUUUGUUUUAUGCUGGGACAGUAGUUCUUUAAAUAGAAUAUUCUCCCAUGGAAAUCGCCCACAAUGCUGAGAGUACACCUUGCAAAAGGUAAGUCUAGAAUAUAGGGUGCCUCCUCAGCAUUGCCCAGAAGCUGAAGUUAGGACUCUCUAGAAUACCAAAAACAAAUUUAUAGCAGUUCAUUAAUGUAAGGAAUUAUGAAAACUGUGUGCCACCAUUAUCCAUAGAUGAAACAAGAGCCACCACGCAAGCACAGACACAAAGCCCUGAAGAUGAAGCCAUUGACAGGGCUCUCAUUUAUUCUGUAGAAACCCACUUGCCUGUUUUUGAACCAGUUUUCUUUGGAGCAUAUGUCUCACUGUGCAACCAAAGUGGUGUUUAUAUCCUAGUCACUUGGCAAAAAUUCUGUCAUUGCUUCAGGGAGAUCCAUUUUAGGCCUGAAGCAUGGAGCUGGUAAUAGAUGGGAUUUGGUACUUCUGAAGAAAAGACCCUACUGCAAAUUUAGAGAGUUAAUUUUUUCUUUUGUUCCCCAUAAUAUUGUUGCUAGAUAGAACUACCUUUUUUGACUAGAAGUUAAAUAUAGAGGCCUAAAUCAAUUAGGUAACUCCCACUCAUUCUAAAUGAGAACAUGUUUGUUUUUCUCCAACGAGAUGAGAAAUAUUUGAGGCGCUUCCUGAUAUCUCUAUCACCCACUGCAUUUUUUCACUUGAUGUAUAUUUCCCCAUGUAUUUGGGAUAAUUUUCAAAUAAUUGCCCUUUAGAAAUCUACUUGAUAUUAAAUGUAAAAAAAAAGCAAGAUGCAAAAUUAUUAUAGGAUGCAUUUACAGAAAUUACAAAAUUUCUAUAAACUAUUUAUGGAGGAAGACUUAUAGAGUAUAUGUCAACACAUUGCUUUAUUAUUGUCCUUGGUUAUGAGUAUGGUUUUUUUGAAACCUGCUUUGUACUUUGGGUGUUUUCUCACCAUUGGUACAAUUGAGGCAUUUUUCCCUCUUCUUCAACCUUGCAAAUCACACGUGAGGAUGCUCAUAGAAGUGCCUCUCAGACAGGCUGUUGUUUUGCUUUCACCAAUAAAUCAUUUAUAAUUAGAAGUAGAAAACUAUUCUUUCCAGUGCAAAUACAUCCCUUUCAAAAGCAGUUCUCUUUUUGUGAAUGAUGUCUAGUGUCUAAGAAACGAGGGUAACCUUUAUUAUAUGCAUUGCUCUAAUCGAAGCAUUGUUUUUUGCGGUGAACUCAAGGUUACAUGUUUAAGAAAAGCAUCGGGUUAAUUCCAUUAGGAAAAGUGUCUUAUUCAUAAACCUUUAGCCACUGGAAAAACACCAUUAGGAGGCCACACAAGUGUGUAUAGCUGGAUAGAAUUUGACAACUGGCAAAACAAAACAAUAGCCUACAAUUGCAGAGUGCUGUCUGUUUAAAAACCAACAUAUCUUUCACCAACAAAUACAUAUUCACCUCAACACGAGACUUUCAUGUGGUUAUUAAUAUCAAAUUUUUGAAUGUCCAAAUUUUGGAGUGUAGUCUAGCAGAGGUAAACUGAUUUGCCUAAGGUCCUUCAACUGUCAGAGGUAGAAUUAUUUUCUCUCUCCUGGCUCUAAAACCUGUCCAGAUUCUCCUGCAACACUGUCCUUCAAAAACACACUUCCGCUGACUCCAGUGCUGGUGAUGUCAUGCUUUAGCUAGUAGUUAGAGGUGACUUAACUUUAAAUAUGGAAUCUUUUUUUCCUAUUAAGCAAUGAGGUUUAGUUUGAAAAUUCUUAGAGAUGAUAAACCCCUCUCCUUUUUUUCUUCCUUCUCCUCUUUUGUCCUGAACAAUGUUCCAUAUAUAUUACUGCCAGAAACAGAUUCUUGACAUUCCUGUUAUGCUUUUCCACAUCUUGUAAUCAUUUCUACAGCUGUUAGCAUUGCCAACAAUUAUAUUUCCACUUUUAAAAAAUUGUUACAAAGAUGCAGAGAGAAAAGAGGAAAGCCAAGGAAUAAACUACAGGCAAUUAUGGGAUAUUUUUGUGAUGUGACAUUUUGGGAACUGAGGCAGCAUCACUGAUACUGCACUACUUUUUAAUAUCUAGAUUUUAAUCUUUUGUAUGAAGAUAAAAUUCACAUGCCUUAAACCUGACCACAACAUAAUAGGGCAUUUAUUUUUCUAAUUUUGAUACCAUCCACAUUUCUUAACUAUAAGAAGAAUGCUUAUGUUGUACCAGGUUAUAUGAUGUUGCCAAGAAGUAGAUGUGUACCAUUUACUAAUACAUCCUUUUGGAAAAUGCGUAUUAAUAACAUAUUAAGGAGUAAAUUGACGUUGUGCAAAGUGAGCCUGUGAGUUUAAAUGUAUGGAUUGUACACCUUGCUCUUCCUAAUUGCAGAUUUAACAGGAUUUGAUGACCUAAUGAGUUUAUUUCUGAAUGAUUUAUAUUUCUUUGUCAGUUCAAUGAUUUAGUAUUUUAAAUUUUUUUAAAUCACAUUUUAUUGAGAUAAUGCUAUUAGUGUUUCUUUCCCAUCACUUAACAAAGUUAAGUCACUCCUCUCCCACCCCACUUUUGUACCUACCAAUGUUUUUUUCACAGUUACAGGCUGAUUGGCUUGACGUGUCUUAGGAUACCACCCAAAGAGAGCUUCAUUUUAUAAAUACCAAGCUCAUUUUCCUAAAUAUUUUCAAAAAGAUAGAUUUAUCCUCAUAUAGUAAAUUCAGAUUAAUAAUUUUGGAAAGGGUCAUGUGACCAUGGUAUUACAUGGCUGUGGAAGACCCUCCAAGAUCUUGUUUUGGGAUAGAAGGACUCAGACAUCCAAACUUUUAAAUUAAUGAACUUAUUAAAUUCUAAAACUUUGUAACAGUGUUAAUUUGAGAAGUAUAAUAUUUUGCUUAAGGUCUGUUUUGCUUUGCAAAAUGCAUCUCCUUCAUUUUCAUAUUAUGUUGGAAGCUUAGCAUGAAAGAACGUGCCUCAGAGGAAACCAUAGGUAAGCAUACUUUAACAAAAGUUAGUGUCAUCAUGUUUGUGUCUUUGCCUGUGGUUUUUUAAAUGUAUAAUGUUUAACGUUGAUUUGGCUAUCAAAUUACAUUUUCUUUUGUUAAAAAAUUCUGUAAAUUAGAAAUGUACUGAAUCAUUUAUUUAGCAGACUGAAGGUGGGUAAUGUUGGCUGAACAGGUUUAAGCCACAGUAAUUUGAAAAUGUAAAUACAUAAAAUAAUGUCAUUUCUCUUCCACUCAAUGUUUCUUCACCAAAUAAAGUCCAGCCUGCUCUGAAUUUGUUGCCAGUAGGAACAAUGUUACAGUGAAUCAUGGUUUAAUAUACCUUGAAAAUGGCACAUCUGUUCUGUGAUAGCUUACCAAUUUUAGCCUCUUUAUAAAAUACGAAGAGUUUGUCAACCAGAAUAAUCUAGAACCUGGCAAUUCAAAUACCAUUCAAAGCAAAUGUUUUAUCUAAUAACUGGAACUAAAUGUUAGGCCUCAUGACAGUUCAAUAUUUACUAAAUAAGUUUAAUAACAGGGUAAGCCCUCAGUAUCCAGAGCAGAGACAAGCACACCAUAUUUACACAUACAAAUUCUGCCUUUAGCCAUCUGAAAGGGCCCCGAACUAUUGCAGCAAGCAAAGAGUCUUUGCAUUGUCCUAAAAUCCAUACAAUACUUUAUAUUUUACACAUUUUAAUAGCUAGUUUAACAAAUAACAAGUACCAUGCUUAAUUCUCUGCAUGCAUUAUUUCAACUAAUUAUUGGAAUAAUCUUAUAAAGUGGGUACUUUCGUCUCAGCUUACAGGUGAGAAAACAAAAGUUAAAUAGAUCGCCCAGGGCUCUGCUGGAACGUGUUAAGCAGGGAUUUCAGCCUGUCCAGUCAGACCCCAGAAGUUGUGUUCUUAACCAUUAGCAACACAUCAUCCCAGGCAGGCCCUACAUGAGCCUCAUAACCAAUUUUAUGCUGGAUAGUAUUAUCCCUAUUUCACAGAUGGCAAAACUGAGGUCCAGAGACUUUAAGUGACCUACCCAAAAUUACAGUCAUGAGCAGAGGCACUGGAAUGUAGGGCCUUGACACUCUACCUCACGUGGUCCUCUUUCCUGUUUUGGGUAGUUCUCCACUACCACUACUCAUUUCUGAUGCUGGAAAGGCUGUGUUUUAUACAUUUCUGUUUCUGGCUUGGAACGAAACACUCUGGGUCUCUGCUUGAUCAGUGUCCCCUCUAAACUGCACCUCACUACAGUAGGGAUGGCAUAAGAUACUUCUUUACACAGCAUCUUUUUGUUCCCACCUCACCCCCAGAGCUGUAAUAGGUAGAGCCAGCCAAAUGUCAAAGGGAUGAUUUGUCUUGUCACCACUAGUUUCCCUUUUCUCUGCCUUGUAUGUAACAGGAAUAUUCUUUAGUUCCUCCUUAUGUUCUAAAGCACCUCCCCAACCUAAAAAUAGAAGAGGAGUUGUGGGUCAUUUACACUUUAGUGUGAAUUUGCCCUUGUGACUUUGCCAAGGCUGUUGUGCCUAACCCUUUCAAUCUAACAGCAGAAUGAGAGUCUCUGGACUAUCCUGGCUCCUUCCCUGAGAAGAAUGAACUGGGAAUUGUUGGUCUAGACAUCAAGACUACCAGAGACCUAUUGCUCAGAGAUGUUUGGGCUGUACAAUUUCUGUAGAUAUGGCAUCUGGAGCAGCCUUUUCUAAGCAAUGGCAUUAUCAUUCCAGGCUCUCUCGCUCUUUCCAUCUCUCCACCAGGUGGACUCUUGCCCUCCACCCCUUCCAAUUUGUCAGUGAUUCAGAGAACAUUCUCCAUCCUUCCAAUGAUUACAUUCCUUCAUCUUGCUGGGGCGCCAAUUCAGUGAUGGAGCGGCUCUUGGGAGCAGCCUUGGCUUAUAGUGCAGCUCUCUGCUACCUUCAACAGGCUGGUAUUCGGGGUGCUUAGAUGUGACUGGUUGUACGCACGUGUGUGUAUGUGCAUGUGUGUACAGCAGUAAGAGCUUUCGAGGUAGAUACUUGAGGAAGCCUCAGACAUCUAGCCCCAUUACUGGGGCAAUGUCUUACUUGGGUUUUUCCAGAAACAGACCUGGAGACCAGGAUUCAAGUGCCAGUGGUAUAUUUGGGAUGUGAACCCUGCAAUGCUGGUAGGAGAGUGGAGAAGUGAGGCAAGGAAAGGAAGGCCGUCAAGGGGCGUGUUAGGAGGUCAUUCACCACCGCAGGUAGCCCGCUGGGGACCUCUGGGAGCAAGUGUGGCGCACAAGCCUCAGCAUUACUGCCCUGUGCCUUGAGGAGUAAGGGAUAAGGAUUUUCCCCACCAGUUCCCUGUAGUCCUUGGUGAGAGCUUCUGGGGUGGAGGUUAAGGUCUUUAGGUCAGAGAAAUUUUCUUUAGUUUCGGAAAAAUCUUUCAGGCCGAGGUCCAGACACUCACUGGAACACACUGAAGUGGUUAGGUCCAAGGGCUGUAGGCAGAGCUCCCAUAUCCAUCUGCAGAGGUGUUUCAGGUGGAAGGAGUGGAGACAGCCUUCUCUGCUCCACACUGUCUUCAGCAAGGGUUUCUGUAUCUGUGCAUUGAGGAUUAAAUUAUUCACAUGGUCAGAGAAGCCCAUCACCACUGAUAGUUAUUGUAGGUAUGGAAAACUAACGACUAAGAAGGGAGAAAAAUAUACCAAGCAGUUGGCUUGGCUGAACACAAGUAAAGACUCUUACAGUCACUGGUGUGAACUGCUUAUUAUCAAUGUCUGAUUACAGUGCUGCAUACUAAUGAUUAUGCAUGUCAUUAAAUGUGUCAGAUUAACUUUGUUAUAAAAUUUAUGACAACAUUAAAUUUUAUUCACAUGCUCAGCCUUCAUAAUUUAUUGCUUAUGUAGCAUGGUUUUAACUUCAGAAAAACCUCCAAGACAGUGUUGUCUUGAUGACUACACUGCUUAUCCGUGAGUCUAGUUUUCCUGUUCAUUUGAAAUGUUCACAUUACAUUCAGCUCUGUCUCAAGCACUGAGACAGAGCUGGAAUCAGUGCCCAGCGAUUCCACUUGCCGAGUGAUUGA